CAGUCCCGCGGUAAUACGAAGGGUGCAAGCGUUAAUCGGAUUUACUGGGCGUAAAGCGUGCGUAGGCGGCUUUUUAAGUCGGAUGUGAAAUCCCUGAGCUUAACUUAGGAAUUGCAUUCGAUACUGGGAAGCUAGAGUAUGGGAGAGGAUGGUAGAAUUCCAGGUGUAGCGGUGAAAUGCGUAGAGAUCUGGAGGAAUACCGAUGGCGAAGGCAGCCAUCUGGCCUAAUACUGACGCUGAGGUACGAAAGCAUGGGGAGCAAACAGGAUUAGAUACCCCGGUAGUCCCUGUCUCUUAUACA
rnacentral:rRNA from 1 species